AGUGAGCGCUGGCGGUAGGCCUAACACAUGCAAGUCGAACGGCAGCACAGUAAGAGCUUGCUCUUACGGGUGGCGAGUGGCGGACGGGUGAGGAAUACAUCGGAAUCUACUUUUUCGUGGGGGUUAACGUAGGGAAACUUACGCUAAUACCGCAUACGACCUACGGGUGAAAGCAGGGGAUCUUCGGACCUUGCGCGAUUGAAUGAGCCGAUGUCGGAUUAGCUAGUUGGCGGGGUAAAGGCCCACCAAGGCGACGAUCCGUAGCUGGUCUGAGAGGAUGAUCAGCCACACUGGAACUGAGACACGGUCCAGACUCCUACGGGAGGCAGCAGUGGGGAAUAUUGGACAAUGGGCGCAAGCCUGAUCCAGCCAUACCGCGUGGGUGAAGAAGGCCUUCGGGUUGUAAAGCCCUUUUGUUGGGAAAGAAAAGCAGCAGGUUAAUACCCCGCUGUUCUGACGGUACCCAAAGAAUAAGCACCGGCUAACUUCGUG
rnacentral:rRNA from 1 species